UGAAUCUUUCAAAUCAUUGAGACUUAAACACUGAUUUGAGUUCUGUGAAUAUUUUAUUUGAAUAGGAAGAUCUGAUGCCUUGAAACAUUAAUUUUGUACACCCAUUUCGUAUUAUUUUUUUUAAUAUUUUUCUUCAAAUGUUUCUGCAAUUGUAUUUUUAAUAAUGUAAAUUUAUUAUUUCUGUUACAAUGUAGUCUAUGAUGCAUACUUUGUAUAUGGUUCAGAAAUGCAAGAUAUUGCAUUUGUUGAAAACUUUGAACUAGGACGGUCUGAGGCUACUAAAAUUCAUUUUCAACAACUGGUCUUUGUUAACUGUUUUUGAGUAAUAAAUUUAUUUUUAUGAAUUAAGCAAUUAUGUGGAUGAUGAGAAUAAAUUUUUACAGUUAUCCCUGUCUGAUACUGCAGUGCAGGUGCUGAAAAUUUGUAAUCUGACACUUGU
rnacentral:lncRNA from 1 species